rnacentral:rRNA from 1 species
UACGAAGGGGGGCUAGCGUUGUUCGGAAUUACUGGGCGUAAAGCGCGCGCAGGCGGUCUUCCAAGUCAGUGGUGAAAGCCUGGAGCUCAACUCCAGAACUGCCAUUGAAACUGUUAGACUUGAGUACGAGAGAGGUGAGUGGAAUUCCCAGUGUAGAGGUGAAAUUCGUAGAUAUUGGGAAGAACACCAGUGGCGAAGGCGGCUCACUGGCCCGUAACUGACGCUCAGGCGCGACAGCGUGGGGAUCAAACAGG